rnacentral:rRNA from 1 species
AGUGAACGCUGGCGGUAGGCCUAACACAUGCAAGUCGAACGGCAGCACAGUAAGAGCUUGCUCUUACGGGUGGCGAGUGGCGGACGGGUGAGGAAUACAUCGGAAUCUACUUUUUCGUGGGGGAUAACGUAGGGAAACUUACGCUAAUACCGCAUACGACCUACGGGUGAAAGCAGGGGAUCUUCGGACCUUGCGCGAUUGAAUGAGCCGAUGUCGGAUUAGCUAGUUGGCGGGGUAAAGGCCCACCAAGGCGACGAUCCGUAGCUGGUCUGAGAGGAUGAUCAGCCACACUGGAACUGAGACACGGUCCAGACUCCUACGGGAGGCAGCAGUGGGGAAUAUUGGACAAUGGGCGCAAGCCCGAUCCAGCCACACCGCGUGGGUGAAGAAGGCCUUCGGGUUGUAAAGCCCUUUUGUUGGGAAAGAAAAGCAGCAGGUUAAUACCCCGCUGUUCUGACGGUACCCAAAGAAUAAGCACCGGCUAACUUCGUG